AUGGUGGACAGCGUGAAUGCGAGCGACAGCGACUCGUCGGACGCCGAGGAGAUGGAGGACUACGGGCCGCUGCACGAGGCGGCCGGCACGGGGAGGAUGGACACCUGCAAGUACCUGGUGGAGGAGCUUGGGUUCGACAUCAAUGCCGAUGCCAACAAUGAUUCGGGCAUGACACCCUUGGCUUGCGCGGUGGCGCGUGGUAAAGCAAUUGCUGUGAGGUAUUUGCUUGACAAAGGUGCUAAUCUGAAUAAGCAAGAUAGUGUUGGCUUUUCUCCUCUGCACUAUGCUACAAAGAAAGGAAACGAUGGGCUGGUACGACUGUUGCUAUCCAAAGGAGCUAGUGCUGAUAUAUCCUCUUGUGAAGGGACGCCACUACACGUGGCUGUGUCGGAUGGGAAUUAUGGCAUCGUCCAGUCUUUAUUGCAGCAUGAUGCAGAUCCAAACAGGGUUUUUUCAGAUUUAGGAGCACCCAUGACUGCUGCAGUUCUUUGUGCUGAUAUUAUUUCUGUCGCUGGAAAAAUUUCUGUGUCUGCUGCUUUGAAGUGCAUGAAGCUACUUGUCAAGGCUGGUGCUGGUUUGAACUGUACAACUCCUGAUACUCCAUUGGUGAUAGCAACCAGCAAAGACUUAACUGAAUGUGUCCAGUACUUGUUGGAGGUCGGUGCAGAUGCCAAUAUUCCAAGCAACUAUAACGGUACGACACCAAUAGAAAUUGCUGCAGACUCUGGAAGAAGAGAGCUCGUGGAGAUUCUAUUUCCAUACACUAAACCCAUUCAACGUGUGUCAAACUGGAGUGUUGAUGGAAUCAUUACUCACGCAAAACACUUGAAGGAAAAGGGUAAGCAAUGUGAUAAGGCCAGCAAGGUUAAGCAAAGUGAUAAGGGCAGCAAGGUUAAGCGGAAAGAGGAUGCCAGUCCACGGAAGUCCUCUUCCGAGGAGAAGGUAGUUCAAGAUAAGAAGGCUGAGCUGAAAUCACUUGGUGCAAAAGCAGUAGAGGAAAAGGACUAUGCCGGUGCAUCAAAAUUCUACAGCGAGGCAAUCAAAGUGGAUCCUAAAGAUGCGACGCUCUAUUCAAACAGGAGCCUAUGCCAUCUAAGGAUUGGUGAAGCACAUGAUGCUCUGGUGGAUGCUGAUGCUUGCAUCAGGCUGCGGCCUGAUUGGCCAAAGGGUUACUGCCGGAAAGGAGCUGCCUUAACAGCGCUCAAGGACCACAAGGAAGCAUGCGAUGCGUACAUGGCUGCGGUGAAACUGGAUCCAUCAAAUGAGGAGUUGCAUGAAGCAUUUUGGGAGGCGGUCGUGGCAAUGAAGGCGGAACUUGGCGCUGGGCAAAGCGGCAGCUCAUCGGACUCUGAUUAG
rnacentral:rRNA from 1 species